CGGUGUUUAACUGGCGUGAUGUGGGACGUCCUACCGGUGGGCUUAGCCUCGCGAGGGGCGGCCCAACUAAUAUCCCGUCGCGGUGCUCUUUACUGAGUGUCGAGUCGGGCCGGUACGUUUACUUUGAACAAAUUAGAGUGCUUAAAGCAGGCUAUCCUCGCCUGAAUACUGCGUGCAUGGAAUAAUGGAAUAGGACCUCGGUUCUAUUUUGUUGGUUUUCGGAACCCCGAGGUAAUGAUUAAUAGGGACAGAUGGGGGCAUUCGUAUUGCGACGUUAGAGGUGAAAUUCUUGGAUCGUCGCAAGACGGACAGAAGCGAAAGCAUUUGCCAAAAAUGUUUUCAUUAAUCAAGAACGAAAGUUAGAGGUUCGAAGGCGAUCAGAUACCGCCCUAGUUCUAACCAUAAACGAUGCCAGCUAGCGAUCCGCCGAAGUUCCUCCGAUGACUCGGCGGGCAGCUUCCGGGAAACCAAAGCUUUUGGGUUCCCGGGGGAAGUAUGGUUGCAAAGCUGAAACUUAAAGGAAUUGACGGAAGGGCACCACCAGGAGUGGAGCCUGCGGCUUAAUUUGACUCAACACGGGAAACCUCACCAGGCCCAGACACCGGAAGGAUUGACAGAUUGAUAGCUCUUUCUUGAUUCGGUGGGUGGUGGUGCAUGGCCGUUCUUAGUUGGUGGAGCGAUUUGUCUGGUUAAUUCCGAUAACGAACGAGACUCUAGCCUGCUAAAUAGGCGUACCUUAUGGUAUCGCGAAGGCCCCCGGCUUCGGCCGGUGGGUUUUUACUACCAACGUACAAACAAAUCUUCUUAGAGGGCACAGGCGG
rnacentral:rRNA from 1 species